CCUCUGUCUUGGCAAUCUUCUCUUCUACUACUGGAGAAGAUUGAAUGCUUACAGAGGUAUAUUGAUGAGGGUUCUAUGCCUUCGGUGCCUGUUUGUCGUUUAACCCCCUUGGGAACGAAAUGAACAGGUCCCAUCCUCAAAGAACCCUACAAUA